GGUUCACACACUUUGUGCUGACUGCAGUGAAAGCGGAGGGUCAGGGAUAGUUAGACCUUGUCCUCUCUGCAGACUGAACAACUGGAACAACUCUGAAGAUCUGGGAAACUACAGCAGCUACAUUCACUACUGCGAGUACUGCAGUACAAACCUGAGAUGAUUUUCAACAUCUCUGUUAUUGCUGGGUUUAUGCAUAUCUGAAUAGUCUGCUGGAUGGAGAUGAUGGUACAGAACCUGGAUCAUAACUGUGCCGGUGAAGCUGAAGAGGACCUGGAAAGAACAACCCCAAACAUGCAGCACACUAUGAAACAUCCAGCUGUGCAAGAUGAGCAGAAACACCACAGCAGGAAAACUCUGACAUGAAGUUUGAGUGUUCCAGCAGGACAGAGACUCAAAAUCAUAGCCACAGGUGAAAUAUUUUCCAGGCCACAAACGCAAGUCCACGUACAUUAAACUCACCACGAUCUUAAAGAAACCUUUUAUUCAACAACACCUGUGAGCAUAUUUAGGGUCAAACAUCUGCAUCCACAAACACAUGGCAGGAAACGUGUGCAGCCUUUCUUUAUGACAGUAUAACGCACUCUAAAUGAGUAUGAAUUUAACUGCAUCAGAUUCAUUGUAAGGUGUUUACAGUUUUCUGUUUGUUUUUGUUUUUUGUUUUUAAUUUUUAUGGGCGCUCUCAGGAUUUUAUUUUUAUUGCAUAAAUAAACUGAACAUUGAGCUGCUUUGAGUUUAGGGACUGGUUCUUAUACAGUGCUUUUCUACUCUGAGCACUCAAAGCACUUUACACAACUUUGGCCUCUUUCACACAUUCAGACUCUGUUGGAUGCAGCUUGGUUUUGGUCUUGUCCGAGGAUAUAUGUCAUGCAGACGGGAGCAGACGGGGAUGGAACCUAAAUCUUCUGUUUAAUGUUUGCAGUUUUUUACUUCAGCUCUUUUAUCCUUGUGUUGUUUCCUGUGAUGUGCACUCUGUCUACUUUGUCACUUUGAGGCUGUAAAUCUAAUAAAAAAUUAUCUUUG